rnacentral:lncRNA from 1 species
CGCGACAGGGAAGGGGGAGGGAGGAGCGAUCGUAGUAAUUCUCUUAAUUUCAAAUCCCUGUCGUGGCAGCACGGGCAAGGAAGAGGACUUUUUGCCCAUUCAAACUAAGGGGAAAACCCUCCACCGAGAGGCUAGUGCACGAGCUAAAGAGCAAACGGGGGACUUUUGGGAGGAGGAGACAUUAGUUUGAAGGCACGCUGUGGUGGUAUCAGCUCACUGUGGGCACUAGUGUCUCCUCACUUGCACUGGAUGUUUUGACUUCUCUGCGACUCGCAGGAUCCCCGAGAUCUCCCUGAAACCCGCCAAACGUUUACACGGACGGCGGACUACAGUUCCAGCAAACCUAGGCCUGGGGAAAUCAUUAACCAGAGAUAAAGCACAACAGCACACUGGUAGGUUCUGUGGCCUUCCCUCUCUGUCUUGUACAGUACCUGAAUAUUUGUUACACACUCCAUCAGAGUAAGUUGGAAUAGGC